rnacentral:tmRNA from 1 species
UUAGGAUUCGACAGGGGUAGGUCGAGCUUGUAUUGCGAGCCGAGUUGGAGAACUCGUUAAUAGCUCCAAAGCCAAUAAUAACUGGCAAAGAAAACAACAACCUCGCUUUAGCUGCGUAAUAGCACUUUAGCGGUUCCUCCCUCCAUCGCCCAUGUGGUAGGGUAAGGGACUCACUCUUAGUGGGCUACGCCGGAGGCCGCCGUCUGAGGCCAAAGGAAGAGACCAAUCAGACUAGCUGCUUGGAAGCCUGUCAGCAGGCUGAAUAGCUAGCGAAAUACGAAUAUGCUGACUACGCUCGUAGAUAUGCAAGUGGCGAUGCCCUUGGACGUGGGUUCGAUUA